rnacentral:rRNA from 1 species
UGGGCGAAGAAGGCCUUCGGGUCGUAAAGCCCUUUUCUGGGUGACGAGGAAGGACGGUAGCCCAGGAAGAAGUCUCGGCUAACUACGUGCCAGCAGCCGCGGUAAAACGUAGGAGGCAAGCGUUAUCCGGAGUUACUGGGCGUAAAGCGCGCGCAGGCGGUUAGGCAAGUUGGGUGUGAAAGCUCCCGGCUAAACCGGGAGAGUGCAUUCAAGACUGCCUGGCUAGAGGACGGUAGAGGGGCGCAGAAUUCGAGGUGUAGCGGUGAAAUGUGUAGAGAUCCCGAGGAAUACCAGUGGGGAAGCCGGCGCCCUGGGCCGAACCUGACGCUGAGGCGCGACAGCGUGGGGAGCGAACGGGAUUAGAGACCCCGGUAGUCCACGCCGUAAACGA